rnacentral:rRNA from 1 species
CGCGUAACACGUGGGCAACCUGCCCUGGAGCGGGGGACAACAUACCGAAAGGUGUGCUAAUACCGCAUAUGGCUCUUCUCGGCAUCGAGAGGCAGCUAAAGAUUUAUCACUCCAGGGUGGGCCCGCGGCCUAUCAGCUUGUUGGUGGGGUAACGGCCUACCAAGGCUUCGACGGGUAGCUGGUCUGAGAGGACGAUCAGCCGGAUUGGGACUGAGAUACGGCCCAG